CCUACGGGAGGCAGCAGUGGGGAAUAUUGCACAAUGGGGGAAACCCUGAUGCAGCGAAGCCGCGUGAGUGAAGAAGUAAUUCGUUAUUUUAAGCUCUAUCAGCAGGGAAGAAAAUUACGGUACCUGCGUAAGAAGCCCCGGCUAACUACGUGCCAGCAGCCGUGGUAAUACGCAGGGGGCAAGCGUUAUCCGGAUUUACUGGGUGUAAAGGGAGCGUAGACGGCAGUGUAAGUCUGGAGUGAAAGGUGGGGGCUCAACCCCCGGACUGCUCUGGAAACUGUACGGCUGGAGUGCAGGAGAGGUAAGUGGAAUUCCUAGUGUAGCGGUGAAAUGCGUAGAUAUUAGGAGGAACACCAGUGGCGAAGGCGGCCUACUGGACUGUAACUGAAGUUGAGGCUCGAAAGUGUGGGGAGCAAACAGGAUUAGAUACCCUGGUAGUC
rnacentral:rRNA from 1 species